GGUGGCCUAGAGGUUAAAGCGUCCGCCUCGGAUGCGGGAGGUCGUGGGUUCGAUCCCCGGUCGAGUCA